GCCGCCAUAGGUCAGUGGCAGACCGCCCGUUUCGUAAUCGGGAUGCCGAGGUUCGAUUCCUCGUGGCGGCA
rnacentral:tRNA from 1 species